rnacentral:rRNA from 2 species
GGGUUGUGAGGUUAAGCGACUAAGCGUACACGGUGGAUGCCCUGGCAGUCAGAGGCGAUGAAGGGCGUGCUAAUCUGCGAUAAGCGCCGGUAAGGUGAUAUGAACCGUUAUAACCGGCGAUACCCGAAUGGGGAAACCCAGUGUGAUUCGUCACACUAUCAUUAACUGAAUCCAUAGGUUAAUGAGGCGAACCGGGGGAACUGAAACAUCUAAGUACCCCGAGGAAAAGAAAUCAACCGAGAUUCCCCCAGUAGCGGCGAGCGAACGGGGAGGAGCCCAGAGCCUGAAUCAGCAUAUGUGUUAGUGGAAGCGUCUGGAAAGGCGCGCGAUACAGGGUGACAGCCCCGUACACAAAAGCGCAUGUGCUGUGAGCUCGAUGAGUAGGGCGGGACACGUGGUAUCCUGUCUGAAUAUGGGGGGACCAUCCUCCAAGGCUAAAUACUCCUGACUGACCGAUAGUGAACCAGUACCGUGAGGGAAAGGCGAAAAGAACCCCGGCGAGGGGAGUGAAAAAGAACCUGAAACCGUGUACGUACAAGCAGUGGGAGCCCCACCACCAAAGCAUUCUCUGGUGUUGAAGGCCCUGCAAAGCAGAAUCGCGGUGGCGGAGCGUCGUUUGCGACGCCCAACACACAAAACAAGCGGUGAGUGCUUUGGGGUGGGGUGACUGCGUACCUUUUGUAUAAUGGGUCAGCGACUUAUAUUCUGUAGCAAGGUUAACCGAAUAGGGGAGCCGCAGGGAAACCGAGUCUUAAU